AAUUUGAAAUCUGGCCCUCCUGGGGUCCGAGUUGUAAUUUGUAGAGAGUGCUUCGGGGGAGACCGCGGUCUAAGUCCAUUGGAACAUGGCGUCCCAGAGGGUGAGAAUCCCGUAUGUGACCGUGGCUCGAGCCCAUGUGAAGCCUCUUCGACGAGUCGAGUUGUUUGGGAAUGCAGCUCUAAAUGGGUGGUAAAUUUCAUCUAAAGCUAAAUACUGGCUGGAGACCGAUAGCGCACAAGUAGAGUGAUCGAAAGAUGAAAAGCACUUUGGAAAGAGAGUUAAACAGUACGUGAAAUUGUUGAAAGGGAAGCGCUUGCAACCAGACCUGCCCGUAGGCGAUCAACCGCUGUUCUCAGCGGUGCACUCGUUCUGCGAUCAGGCCAGCAUCGGUUCUGGCGGUCGGAUAAAGGCCUUGGGAAUGUAGCUUCCCUUCGGGGGAGUCUUAUAGCCCUCGGUGCAAUGCGGCCAGCCGGGACCGAGGACCGCGCUUCGGCUAGGAUGCUGGCGUAAUGGUUGUAAGCGACCC
rnacentral:rRNA from 1 species